AUGCGGCCCCGGGCUGGGCGGAUCGGAGCCUCCUUCGCCGUCCCCUCGGGGAGCUCCCGCGGCGCCCGGGACGCCAAGGGGCUCCACGCCCCGAUGGCGCCCGCACCGCGCACCCGCACCGGGCCCACCGCGGGAGGAGCGACGCUCGCCUUCCCCGGAGAUCCCUCCUCCCGUCUCCAUCAGGUCCUAAAAUGGUGGGUCGGCCGACCUCCCUCCUCUUCCUUCACCCCCUGCUCCCAUCCCGUCCCCCCACCCGCCCCACGCUCCCGGAGCCCGCCCGUCGCCCCCGCCCCGGCCCCGCAGGGCAGCCGCCCUUCCGUCCGUCCUGGCCCAGGCUCCGCGGGGAUCCGGCGCAAGGCCCGCGCCUCUCCCGGGAAUGCGGCAACAGCGAUCCCGGGAACACGCCAACGCCGCCCCCGGCGGCCGCCCUUACCUGCGCCGGGCUCACAUCGCGGGGCCGGGGCCAGCGGCGACCGCCCUCGGCGCCCCUCGGCCGCCACCUCGCCGUCGCCCUGCGCGGGGCCGCAGGUAUGUCAUGAGUGCCGAGCGCGGCUCCAGGUGAGCCGGGCACACCUACAGGAAGGCAGGCGGGCCGCCCUGAUUGGCGUGCGGGACCGGCGGCCGCGCUCCGACGGCACCGCGGCGAGGCAGGGCAGGGUGGCCGAGGGGCUGCGGCGGACACGGCAGCUCUGGACCCGUUCCUGGCUCCGGCCGGCCACAGGCCCUGACACGUCCGAGCGGAAGGUGUUUCCUCCAGGAUGUGCUCUGAAGAUUUCAGCAAAAGAGAAAGAGGGAGCUUGCUCAACCACCAGAGCAACCCUGCAGCCCACACCUAGGCAGUCCUGAACCCUCCCUUGCCUGCAAGACCCAUGUGGAGUCUCCCAGGCAGGAAAACUCCACUCAGAAGUGGAAGCACACUGAGAACUCUCCCCAGCCAGCUACAGAAUCAUCCUCAUGCCUGCUGCUGUCUUCUGAUUCAAUUACUCCUUUCAUUCAUUUGUGUGGGUGCCUUUUUUCAGCAGAGUGGAUGAGCUCCUGCAGCUGAGAUUCCCAUUCCGCAUCACUUCAUUUACAGUCAGAUGCAAGGAAAGGGAUGCUUCAAAUUCCCAGGAGCUGACUCUGGAUCAUGUCUCUUUUUAGUUUCGUGUCAGACCUCUGGGAGAUUAUAUAAAUAGCUUGUCACUAUAGGACACGAAACAACAUGACAUGCACACACCGCUGCUCUCAAGGUGAAAAAAAGGGAAGUUUACUUUCUGACUCUAACAUUUAUAGAUUUCUAAAAGUGACAGUGGAUUGGAGGGUGAAAGUGCCAGCUCUCCAAUGACACUGGACAAACCAACAGUCUAUUAAAUUUCUCUUCUUCCAUAAAAGAAUGUAAAACAAUAAGCUAUUUACAGAAAGUGUGUGAGAAAGUUUGUUACAAGAAUGUAAACAUCGGAAGGUUUAGAAAAAUCUUAAAAAAUCAGGGCGACAAUAGCUAGUGCAUCUUCUCACUGCAUUUUCUAAGUUCCUAGCAGCUGGCAGCAGGUUGGAGUUGGUCAUCCUGACUGGAAAACUGCUCCUCUUCUAUCUAGAAAAGGGCAGCUUGUUGUCUGACGUGGGCUUAACUUCUCCCCCUGUCCUUGGCACCUCCAGCAGCUGCAGAGGCAGUUUUCUGUUUGAUUUUGAGAAUUAUGUCUUGAGAUACCUUGCUUUCUCUGCCUGCUGCACAGAGUUUGAGUGCCUGAACACAUCUGGAACCCAGCAGAGUGUGAGCAGGGGAGGGCUUGUCCCAUGCUGUGAGUAUCCCACAUGGGUUGGGCUGCACUGUCUCUUAGCCCACCAAACUCUGCCCUGCAGCAGCUGAGCAUGCCCCUUUCCCUUCAAGGACAUACCUCCGUGGUGUGUAUACAUACAUAUGUAUCUCUGGUAUGUCCCUUUCCUGCAAAGAGGCCCACCAGCAUCAAGAGCAGGGCCCCGUACCCUGAAUUGCUCCUGCUUCCUGCAAUGCCUUGUGCUAUGUCGGGCUGAAGGGCAGUUGGGAUAUUAACCUCCCACUAUGACAUCCUCCUUGUAAACAUCCUGUCCCACUCAAGUCCUGCGCUGUCACAUCCUCUCUGCUCUGCCCAGACACUAUUCUGGGUUUAGUUCUACAUGCAGAGCACCCAGCUGGGCAUGCCAAAAUCCAGGCAAGCAGCAGGAGAGAACAGUAACUUGGUUCAGCUGCUGACAUAUUCUUAAAACUAAAAUCAUCUGCUUGAGCCCUUCUUGGAAAGCCAGUUUGCUUCCCUAGGCAUGUUCAGCAGCUGUACCUUACUCCAAGCAGAUGCAAGCCUGUGCAUAUGGCAUGAAGAACCUUGGUAAUAAUGGAAGGGAGCAGAACAGAGAGCUUGGAAACUGCAGCACAGUAAGUUUACACAAGCAGCAAGUAAAACACCCAGCCCCUGUGAGUCAGUCCUGGCUGUUUCCUUCAUUUCCUCCAAGGCUCGCUGUGAACAUCCAGCGGUAGCAGCCCUUUUGAAAUCCAGUCAUCUCCUUUCCUGCCUCUUGUUUACAGUCUCCAGCACAGCAUUUUCACUGCAGAGUGCUGAGAGAAGUGCAGACUCUUCCCCUGGCCUCAGCUCAGCUUUGGUACCGCAGUGCUCUUACUGCUUUUGUGGGUGCCAGCACCUUCUUGAGCUACAGCACGUGCUGAAGUAAGAGAGGAAAAAGUGUCACAGUUGCACAAUAGUUUUCUUUUUUUUUUUAAAUCUUGAACGCAGCUGUAUCAUUGACAGAGGUUUUUUAUCCCUACAGCCAUACCUUUGGAUUCAGUCUGGUAGGGUAGAAAGAAUGCAGGGGGUAUUAGGUUGUUCUAAGCAUGCAAACCAUCCCUCAGAGAUAUGGAUUGGAUCUUCCCUGCUUCAGAUUGAGGUGUAUCUCAUGCUCUGAUUUUCCCACAUGACAGCAGCUAGGGAGGGGGACUAUUUUUAGCUUUUGUUUCUUGGUUUGUUUACAAGAAGUUCUUCAUUUGUGGAAGUGAGCUUGGGUCUGUCUUAGUCUGAGAAUCUGCUUCAGUGCCAGUUGUGGAUGCAGUUACAAGGCUGAACUGCUGCUGUUGUCUAGGAGAGGCAUCAUUUGUCCCAGGUGUUCAAAAAACUGUGGGUUUCACACAGACAAAUACUGAUUUCUGGGAUGUUUUCUGAAAUUUGUUCAAGGAGAUGUCCAGGCAGCUGUGACAGAAAAGUUUAGGAAAAUACAGAACUGGGAAAUUCUUUUGGGUAAUAUGGAUAGAAAUGCUUUUCUGUGUGAAGCUAGUUAUAAAUCUAUAUUGCUGCCAUAACCUGAGUUAAUGACAGUAGCUCUGAGACAAAACUCAUACUGUCAAAGAAUGUGAACAUCCCAAGACAAGAACAGACCUAAAUGGGCUUCCCCCAUUUCCUUCUCAAGUGCCCUCUCCUGGGAAUUCCAAAUAGCCUACAGCCAACAAGUGACCUAGAUACAAUGCUGUGUCUUAUGGAGUAAAACCAGGAGCAAAAUAAUCCACCAAAAUUAUAUAUCUUUAUAAUCAUUACUCAAUUCAUCCAGGUUUGGUUUGUUGCUUUGUUUUUUUUUUUUCCCUUACGAAAAGCAGCAAGAAUUGUUUUACAAAUGGAUACCUGCAUAUGAAGCAUGAAGGGAUAGUUUUUUUUGUCAUGAUGAAUUAUGUACCAGUUACAGUGAAGCUGUACAUUGGAUGGAUUAAGUGUGAAUGGCCCAUUUUGUGUGUUGUACAAAUUUUUUCCAGAGUAAUUGCAGUGCCUGGCCUGACGUGCAUGUCAGGCCAUUGCCCUUUUUUAAUAGGGUCUGCCAGGAAAAUUUAAACAAAUGGACAAGGCUGCAGACUGUCUUGAGACAAAGGCUAUCCUUAGGGGCAUGAGAGCACGGGAUGGUCUGGAGAGUCCCUACCUGUCAGCCAUGAAAGGUGGUAAAAGGAUGUUUUUAUUUGCACACAUCCCGUAGCCUGACAUUGCCCAACAGUUCACUUGGGCAAUGAACGGGGUGAGGUGGUUCUGAACUUGUUGAUGUCAGUCUGGGGGAGGCUGAUGUGCUUUCCCAACUCAGUUUACAGCUACAGUCUGUAAACAGACUGAUAUCAAAGAAAAUGACUGCUCAUGCCACAGCUUCAGAACAGUGUGGGCUGCACACAUGCAAAUGUUGGUUUUGUUGACCUUCACUGAUUUGGAUGGAAUUGGGGGCAGGAAUGGCCAGUCUCAAACAGCAAAAGCAGGCAAGAUCGACUCAGAUGUUACUUCACUUGUCCCAAGGAUGUAAAAAAUGUCAGCUGGGCAGAAGGGAAGACAAAGUACUGCUCAAAGCAUAGCUACAAACUGAAGAAAGAAAUUCCCACAAUGUAUCUCCUGCUCAAGAUUUCACAUUAACAACUGCAGCAAAACAUGACUUCAAACUUCACAUCUAUUUGCUUGUAUGCUGUUUUUCAAAAGACAGAAGGAAAUAGCUUAAAAUUAGUCCAAUUCCAUUAAAAUCCUUUUGUUUGGGAUUAAUAAAAUAUGGAUUCCUUUCA
rnacentral:lncRNA from 1 species